CCUUUAAAGAGGUGUAAGUUUCUUUCCCUUCGUCUAAAAAGAUAACGUACAUAACACCUUUAUAAAUAGCCUCAAACAUUAAGCAUACCUUUACCCAAUCAUCGAACUGAGAAAAAUCUGAAAUUCGACAUUUAUCACCUUCUUCCAUUCAUGUCUUCAAUUAUUAUCUUCGUUCGAAAAACAAUCAAAAAAAGAUAUUUUAGCCUAUUCACUUAUCUUGAUCAGUGUCCAAAAUAAUCAAAGUCACUCACAUACUUACUUUUUCCGAAAGAAUCCAAUAGGCAGGUUUGCAGUAGGUAGGUACACCAAAAUGUUAUCACAUUAUCUGCACCAUGUAUCAGCAGUUUUUGUGUACGUUAGC